CAGCAGCCGCGGUAAGACAGAGGAUGCAAGCGUUAUCCAGAAUGAUUGGGUGUAAAGCGUCUGUAGGUGGCUUUUCAAGCCCGCCGUCAAAUCCUAGGGCUCAACCCUGGACAGGCAGUGGAAACUACCAAGCUGGAGUACGGUAGGGGUAGAGGGAAUUUCCGGUGGAGUGGUAAAAUGCGUUGAGAUCGGAAAGAACGCCAAUGGCGAAAGCACUCUGCUGGGCCGACACUGACACUGAGAGACGAAAGCUAGGGGAGCAAAUGGGAUUAGAUACCCGAGUAGUCCCUGUCUCUUAUAA
rnacentral:rRNA from 1 species